CUUAUGCCGGCGACCGGCGGACGGGUGCGUAACGCGUAUGUAACCUACCUUUGACAGGGGGAUAACAUCGAGAAAUUGGUACUAAUACCCCAUAACAUCACCGGAGGCAUCUUCGGUGGUUGAAAACUCAGGUGGUCAGAGAUGGACAUGCGUUGUAUUAGCUAGUUGGUGAGGUAACGGCUCACCAAGGCGACGAUACAGUAGGGGGACUGAGAGGUCCAACCCCCACAUUGGUACUGAGACACGGACCAAACUCCUACGGGAGGCAGCAG
rnacentral:rRNA from 1 species